UAGUGAACAAGACAUGGUAUUUAAUCUAAUUUAAUUUAAUUUCAAUUCCUUUUCUCCCAUGUAGACGAGUGCUGGUGGCAGACUGAGGGAGAAGGAAUAACCCCAGCACUGUGGAACACAGGGGUCUGCCAGUGCUGGCGAAGCCUUUUUUGAGAAGCACACAGAAAAUCUGCCAUCCCAACCCCAAAUCUCCUUCCCACUGGCCACCAGCCUGAGCAGGAGCUGUGUCCAGGUGCUCCAUCCCAGCUCUGACUCCUGAUGGAUAUUUCCCUAUUCCUGGUAAGAAUCUGAAUUUUCUUUUUUUUUUUUUUUUCUCAUCUACAACAAACCUAACAUGUCCAGGUGAAUGUUCCUGUAGGAAGUACCAGGAAGGAGAAGAAUUUGGAGCCAGGAUGUCAAGGAUGGAAAAGAUUCCAUCAGGAAAAGAUUCCUACAGGAACAUUUACCCUAAAAUUACUCUGAGAGGU
rnacentral:lncRNA from 1 species